rnacentral:rRNA from 1 species
GAUGAACGCUGGCGGCGUGCCUAAUACAUGCAAGUCGAGCGAACAGACGAGGAGCUUGCUCCUCUGACGUUAGCGGCGGACGGGUGAGUAACACGUGGAUAACCUACCUAUAAGACUGGGAUAACUUCGGGAAACCGGAGCUAAUACCGGAUAAUAUAUUGAACCGCAUGGUUCAAUAGUGAAAGACGGUUUUGCUGUCACUUAUAGAUGGAUCCGCGCCGCAUUAGCUAGUUGGUAAGGUAACGGCUUACCAAGGCAACGAUGCGUAGCCGACCUGAGAGGGGGAUCGGCCACACGGGAACUGAGACACGGUCCAGACUCCUACGGGAGGCAGCAGUAGGGAAUCUGCCGCAAUGGGCGAAAGCCUGACGGAGCAACGCCGCGUGAGUGAUGAAGGUCUUCGGAUCGUAAAACGCUGUUAUUAGGGAAGAACAAAUGUGUAAGUAACGAUGCACGUCUUGACGGUACCUAAGCAGAAAGCCACGGCUAACUACGU